rnacentral:tmRNA from 1 species
GGGGCUGUUUUUGGUGUCGACGGUUGCAAAGGACAAUUUUUAGAUUAAAAAAGAUCUUUUUAUAAAUCAAAUUUACAAAUAAAUCAAGCUGUUUUUGCAUAAAUUUCAGAAAUAAAUUUAGAAUUUUAUUUGAGCACUUCAAAUAAAAAAUGGUUUUUGUUAGAAUCACUCUAAACAUUGGACUUUUUAAGUGACUAAUUUUUAGUAAAUAGUUAUUUUGAAAAGCGUUUAAUUUUAAAAAAGAAUAUUCCUGUAAAAUAACGAAACGAUAGAAUCUAUUAAAAAAUGCAAUCGGAUGUAGGUUCAAAUCCUACC